AACGAACGCUGGCGGCGCGCUUAACACAUGCAAGUCGCACGAGAAAGGGCUUCGGCCCCGGUACAGUGGCGCACGGGUGAGUAACACGUGGGUAAUCUUCCCUCGGGCGGGGGAUAACAUUCCGAAAGGAGUGCUAAUACCGCAUAAGACCACGGCUUCGAAAGGAGCUGAGGUCAAAGCCGGCCUCUAUUCAUAAGCUGGCCCCUGAGGAUGAGCCGGCGGCCCAUCAGCUAGUUGGUAGGGUAAUGGCCUACCAAGGCAAAGACGGGUAGCUGGUCUGAGAGGAUGAUCAGCCACACUGGAACUGAGACACGGUCCAGACUCCUACGGGAGGCAGCAGUGGGGAAUCUUGCGCAAUGGGCGAAAGCCUGACGCAGCGACGCCGCGUGAGUGAUGAAGGCCUUCGGGUUGUAAAGCUCUGUGGGGAGAGACGAAUAAGUCGGAGCUAAUACCUCCGGCGAUGACGGUAUCUCCUUAGCAAGCACCGGCUAACUCUGUGCCAGCCGCCGCCGUAACAC
rnacentral:rRNA from 1 species